GGACGAUACGGUCUGGUGCGGGCAUGGCUUCGCUGCCUCCUGCCGGGUUUUACUGACGAUUGCAGAGACCAGACAGACCAAGGAUUUCUUGUUGUGCAAGAGUGAUUUAGGCGUCGUAGGGCUGUGGGGUAUAGGCGGCGGAAAAUAGGCGGUGUUAGAGUCCGAUGCCCCGGCCUAUGCCGAGGUCNNNNNNNUGAAGGCGAGUUCCCGACCAAGGCUGCGGCCCGAGUCGAUCCCGAUGCCGAGGUCUCUCUUGCGGC
rnacentral:misc_RNA from 1 species